AUACGUAGGGGGCAAGCGUUAUCCGGAAUUACUGGGUGUAAAGGGAGAGUAGGCGGCAUGAUAAGUUAGAUGUGAAAGCCUUGGGCUUAACCCGAGGAUUGCAUUGGAAACUGCUUAGCUAGAGUGUCGGAGAGGUAAGUGGAAUUCCUAGUGUAGCGGUGAAAUGCGUAGAUAUUAGGAGGAACACCAGUGGCGAAGGCGACUUACUGGACGAUAACUGACGCUGAGGCUCGAAAGCGUGGGGAGC
rnacentral:rRNA from 1 species